UACAGAGGUCCCAAGCGUUGUUCGGAUUCACUGGGCGUAAAGGGUGCGCAGGUGGCUGUGUAAGUUUGAUGUGAAAUCUCCGGGCUCAACCCGGAAAUGGCAUUGAAUACUACAUGGCUGGAGGUUUGGAGGGGGGACUGGAAUUCUCGGUGUAGCAGUGAAAUGCGUAGAGAUCGGGAAGAACAUCGGUGGCGAAAGCGCUCUACUGGACGGUGUCUGACACUCAGGGACGAAAGCUAGGGGAGCGAAUGGG
rnacentral:rRNA from 1 species